CUGGAUUAAUGAAUAAAAAGUGGGAUUUAUUACUCGAUGGCAAGGACUAAAGCCUGCAGUAGGAUGUUUCCCGGGAGUGAUCAAAGAGAAGAGAGAACAGUUUGAAGCAGGGGCGGCCCAAGGGUCAAGCCACUAAAGUAAAGGCUUUAGGCCCUCAAAUUUUUAAGGCCCAGAUUAAAAAUUGGCUUUAGGCCACCAAUUCUUCUUGGGCCGCUCCUGGUUUGAAGCAUUUCAGAUAAAUAUACCUGCCAUGAAUAACAGAUAUGAGGAAACCAGCAGAGCAGAUAGAUUCAAGAUCAGCCCGCGAUAUCUUAUGAGUCCAGCAAGCAUUUAUCUGCCCAUCAAAUCCACAAUUUGACUGCAUCCCCGAUGCUGAUAUGCCUUUGACGUAUUCCUACCACACCCAAAAAAGACCCUAGGAUAAACAAGUAUUAUUCCGAGAAAAAGAAUCAAACAAGGAUAAAAUUGCAUUAGGAGCUCCAAGUUCUUGUUUAAGCAGGCUUAGAGCAUCACUGCACCAGAAGUCCAACCAGAAAGUAUCUUGUUGAGUACACACAAGUAACAUAGAAAUGUAUUCCCCCAGAAAGAGAAAAUUCUUUCUGUGGUUUGUUCAAGAUCCACAUACCAGUGUUAUUAAAAGCCAGCACUUGGCCGCCCUAAACCAAUUAAGCCGUGUGAAGCGAGAGGUUAUUGCUUCCUGGGUUAAGUCAUGCGUUUCAAAGAAGUUUUGCGCGCCAAACAUUGACGCGCCAAGUGAGCCUAAUGAGAAGUAGCAGGCUUUUGGAUCUCUUAGAGAGCUGGAUUUAUAUUGACAUUAUUGUAUAUUUGGAUGCUGAAAUGUUAUUUAGUAGCAAUUCAAUUAUUAUAGUAAUAAAUUCAUACCAUAUGUUUAUAUUUUUAA